AACGAACGCUGGCGGCAUGCCUAACACAUGCCAGUCGAACGAGACCUUCGGGUCUAGUGGCGCACGGGUGCGUAACGCGUGGGAACCUGCCCUUAGGUUCGGAAUAACUCCCCGAAAGGGGUGCUAAUACCGGAUAAUGUCUUCGGACCAAAGAUUUAUCGCCUUUGGAUGGGCCCGCGUUGGAUUAGAUAGUUGGUAGGGUAAAAGCCUACCAAGGCGACGGUCCAUAGCUGGUCUGAGAGGAUGAUCAGCCACACUGGGACUGAGACACGGCCCAGACUCCUACGGGAGGCAGCAGUGGGGAAUAUUGGACAAUGGGCGAAAGCCUGAUCCAGCAAUGCCGCGUGAGUGAUGAAGGCCUUAGGGUUGUAAAGCUCUUUUACCCGGGAUGAUAAUGACAGUACCGGGAGAAUAAGCUCCGGCUAACUCCGUG
rnacentral:rRNA from 1 species